rnacentral:rRNA from 1 species
GAUGAACGCUGGCGGCGUGCUUAACACAUGCAAGUCGAACGGGAAACCUUUUAUUGAAGCUUCGGCAGAUUUAGCUGGUUUCUAGUGGCGGACGGGCGAGUAACGCGUGGGUAACCUGCCUUAUACAGGGGGAUAACAGUCAGAAAUGGCUGCUAAUACCGCAUAAGCGCACAGAGCUGCAUGGCUCAGUGUGAAAAACUCCGGUGGUAUAAGAUGGACCCGCGUUGGAUUAGCUGGUUGGUGGGGUAACGGCCCACCAAGGCGACGAUCCAUAGCCGGCCUGAGAGGGUGAACGGCCACAUUGGGACUGAGACACGGCCCAGACUCCUACGGGAGGCAGUAGUGGGGAAUAUUGCACAAUGGGGGAAACCCUGAUGCAGCGACGCCGCGUGAAGGAAGAAGUAUCUCGGUAUGUAAACUUCUAUCAGCAGGGAAGAUAAUGACGGUACCUGACGAAGAAGCCCCGGCUAACUACGUG